rnacentral:rRNA from 1 species
CCUACGGGAGGCAGCAGUGAGGAAUAUUGGUCAAUGGACGAGAGUCUGAACCAUCCAAGUAGCGUGAAGGAUGAAUGCCCUAUGGGUUGUAAACUUCUUUUAUAUGGGAAUAAAACAGGGUAUGCAUACCCUCUUGUAUGUACCAUAUGAAUAAGGAUCGGCUAACUCCGUGCCAGCAGCCGCGGGAAUACGGAGGAUCCGAGCGUUGUCCGGAGUUAUUGGGUUUAAAGGGAGCGUAGGUGGAUUGUUAAGUCAGUUGUGAAAGUUUGCGGCUCAACCGUAAAAUUGCAGUUGAAACUGGCAGUCUGGAGUACAGUAGAGGUGGGCGGAAUUCGUGGUGUAGCGGUGAAAUGCUUAGAUAUCACGAAGAACUCCGAUUGCGAAGGCAGCUCACUGGACUGCAACUGACACUGAUGCUCGAAAGUGUGGGUAUCAAACAGGAUUAGAUACCCUUGUAGUC